rnacentral:misc_RNA from 1 species
CCAAGUGCGAAGCACCGGUCCCUGUGGUGUCACUCACUUCGGCACUCCUUUCCAUGUAGCAUUUUGUUGUUGUUUUCGCGGAAACUCUACUGUGGGUUGUCAUGCCUCUUCUCCCCGCCUCCAAAGGAAAGGACGCCGCUGCGGCACCCAAGAAAAAAGUGCACCCGCCGGAGCCCUGCGGCUGCGGUGUGGACACGUAUCGUGCACCCCCUAAAGGAAAGAAAACGCCCCCUGUUAUCGUACACCAUCCCGGCUGUGCGUACCAGCGCACCACAUGCGACGCCUAUCCUCAUCUCCCGCGGUGCACGACGUGCCAGGAGCCGUGCAAGUUUUGCCUCGGCAAGAAUCGCUGGUGCCCCCACUGCUACGAGAAGCAGUGCACGUUCCGGUACAAGCGCGUUGUCAUUGGCGUAGAGCCGCUGACCGGCGCUGAUGUGGGACCUGGCAAAGGUGAGCUGGCAUCGUCCCUCGGCCGCCGCGGCACCUCACGACGCCGCACUACGGUGCGCUUGGUGGACGAGAAGCGCAAGGCAGCCAGCAUGCAACGCAGCACCUCUGCGCAGCGACGAGGCACGAACGUUGCGGUGAGUUGAACCUCGAAAUCACUGUGAACACAUCCACUGAGUCUCUUUUUGGUGCGAGAACGCGUCUCUCAGCAACAACCAGACGGCGAGUGAGAAGGGGAGCGACUUUAUGUACAUUAGUGUUUCAGAUGCUGUCGGUGUCGUGUGCCGGCGACGCUGACCGACGGUGAUGGGAGGGGCAGGCCCACUGAUUGCUCUCGCCGUCUACCGCUUGCGCGUGUCUGUGUUGUGCACACGAGGACACGGCUGUACUGAUAUCUUGCUCGUCGCCACGACAUUUCUUUCCUUGUUCGCCCUCCCUUGCUCGUUUUGCACACUUGCCUGUUGAACUUGUUCGUCGGAUUACCUCGACGUUCUUGUCGAAACCACCACAGCCCCCAUUCACGUCCUCUGGCGCUUUCCGUCUGGUGUGGAGCGUGCGUCGGCACACUUCGGCAUGUCGUGAAGAAACGAUGCUCCCCCUUUCUCUCUCUGAUGGUGACGAUGGUCGAGCAUCGCGAGAUCGUCGCCAGCUCCAUCAAAGGUGAUGCACUCUUUUCUCCCAACGAUGCAACGACACCCACCCUGAGUGGAGGAUGCGUGUGGGGUUGGAGCGGGUCUGCGCGCCUGCAGCGCCGUCCCCCUUGACGACGAUAUCUGCGACCUUGACGAAUAUGCUGCAUCCCUGGUCCUUUUCGGUUCCUCACCUGGGAACUGGGCUUAUCCUUUUCCCUUUUCCGGCGUCUCCUUCUUUUCGCAUAUGCGCGGAUGUCCACACACACACACACACACAUAUCAG